rnacentral:rRNA from 1 species
GAUGAACGCUGGCGGCGUGCUUAACACAUGCAAGUCGAACGAAGCGCUUAAGAUUGAUUCUUCGGAUGAUUUCUUUUGCGACUUAGUGGCGGACGGGUGAGUAACGCGUGGGUAACCUGCCUCACACAGGGGGAUAACAGUUAGAAAUGACUGCUAAUACCGCAUAACCCGAUAGGAUCGCAUGAUCCAGACGGAAAAGAUUUAUCGGUGUGAGAUGGACCCGCGUCUGAUUAGCUAGUUGGUGAGGUAACGGCCCACCAAGGCGACGAGCAGUAGCCGGCCUGAGAGGGUGAACGGCCACAUUGGGACUGAGACACGGCCCAAACUCCUACGGGAGGCAGCAGUGGGGAAUAUUGCACAAUGGGGGAAACCUUGAUGCAGCGACGCCGCGUGAGUGAAGAAGUAUUUCGGUAUGUAAAGCUCUAUCAGCAGGGAAGAAAAUGACGGUACCUGACUAAGAAGCCCCGGCUAACUACGUGCCAGCCGCCGCCGUAA